rnacentral:rRNA from 1 species
AUACCAAACUGUUGCCUCGGCGGGGUCACGCCCCGGGUGCGUCGCAGCCCCGGAACCAGGCGCCCGCCGGAGGGACCAACCAAACUCUUUUCUGUAGUCCCCUCGCGGACGUUAUUUCUUACAGCUCUGAGCAAAAAUUCAAAAUGAAUCAAAACUUUCAACAACGGAUCUCUUGGUUCUGGCAUCGAUGAAGAACGCAGCGAAAUGCGAUAAGUAAUGUGAAUUGCAGAAUUCAGUGAAUCAUCGAAUCUUUGAACGCACAUUGCGCCCGCCAGUAUUCUGGCGGGCAUGCCUGUCCGAGCGUCAUUUCAACCCUCGAACCCCUCCGGGGGGUCGGCGUUGGGGACCUCGGGAGCCCCUAAGACGGGAUCCCGGCCCCGAAAUACAGUGGCGGUCUCGCCGCAGCCUCUCCUGCGCAGUAGUUUGCACAACUCGCACCGGGAGCGCGGCGCGUCCACGUCCGUAAAACACCCAACUUUCUGAAAUGUUGACCUCGGAUCAGGUAGGAAUACCCGCUGAACUUAAGCAUAUCAUAGCCGG